AACGAACGCUGGCGGCAGGCUUAACACAUGCAAGUCGAACGCAUGCCUUCGGGCAUGAGUGGCAGACGGGUGAGUAACGCGUGGGAACCUACCCCUUGGUACGGGAUAGCUCCGGGAAACUGGAGAUAAUACCGUAUGUGUCCUGAGGGACAAAGAUUCAUCGCCAAGGGAUGGGCCCGCGUCGGAUUAGCUAGUUGGUGGGGUAACGGCCUACCAAGGCGACGAUCCGUAGCUGGUCUAAGAGGAUGAUCAGCCACAUUGGGACUGAGACACGGCCCAAACUCCUACGGGAAGCAGCAGUGGGGAAUAUUGGACAAUGGGCGCAAGCCUGAUCCAGCCAUGCCGCGUGAGUGAUGAAGGCCCUAGGGUUGUAAAGCUCUUUCACCGGUGACGAUAAUGACGGUAACCGGAGAAGAAGCCCCGGCUAACUUCGUG
rnacentral:rRNA from 1 species